rnacentral:lncRNA from 1 species
CGGAGCCCCCGCACCUCCCCGGCCAAACGAAUCAGCGGCCAUUUUUGCAGGAAUCGCCGGAAGAUCGAUUCGUCUCCGGGAUCGAUAGCUGCUUUGUCGGGAUUAUGAGGAAGUCGGGCGGCGGCUGACGAAGAAAUGCGGCAGCUUGUUAGGGUUUGAUGUGAUAUUCUGGAUAUGUUAAAGAGGCGCUUCGCUAGGGUUCUUUUGAACGCCAUGGAUGAAUAAUGAUAACAAUUCUAAAAGAAAUUAAAAAUAUGGCGAGAGAAAACUGCAAUACGUAUGAAUCGCUUAAAGGUUGUGACUAUUAGCUGUUGGUGAAGGGGCUUAUAUAGGUCCAGUUUUCGAGGAAGAAGAAUAGCUAGGAAAAUGAAAAUUUGAUUAGAACAGGAAAUUAAUUAAUUCCUUUAUUAAAAUACCCGCGAUAUAAUGACCAUUUUCGCGAGAGAAAGACGACGAAUGUAUCCCGUAAAUUAAGAAUAUUCCCAUAAAACCGUCCCAAGUACAUAAUAAUAUUCGCACCGGACCUCAACGCUCUCGACUCGUGACGGUGAGGACUUACUUGAUCACGGAACACGUGGUUGGCUGCGUCCGGAAGAAGUAGCACCGUCGGAUUAAUUGACUAAUGAGUUGUCUUGUGUUUGUUAGGGUGAUUUUGACCACAAAAUAUGUGUAAACGCCAAGUUUCGUUUGUGCAUUCAAUCAUCAAGCGCUUAAAUCUAUACAGUAACAAAAUCACACAAUAAGUUUGAUCUAACUCCAGUGUAAGAAUGAAUACAGGCUGAACAAACUUGACCUAGUUCCGGUGUGAGGAUGAAGAUAGGUUGAAUAAGGUUUAACAAUGGAGAUUUUAGUAUCAAAAUAUAUUAUAAUUGAUCUCAUCACUUUAAGCUGAUUUUCUUCCGAAUUGUAUUAGGACUCCUAAACUAGUUCCUCCCUCCGUCCCUAAUUAUUUCACGUUUUAGAGGUGAGCACAAGAAUUAAGAUAAUGAUUGAAAAAUAUUAAAUAUAGUACUCAAUUGUCUAUAAUACCCUUAAAUCUUUUGUUGAGAUAAGGGAGAGAGAGUUUAAUGAGGGGUAAUUUUGGAAAAAUUAUCAUUAAUUCUCCUAGAUUUGAACAAACGUCAAAUAACUAAGGACAAAUGAAAAACUCUAAAACGUCAAAUAAUUAGGGACGGAAGGAGUACUUAUGUUUGGGUCAAACUCAAUCUGCUUAAAAGGAGAAAAUUAGAUAUAAUUCUAACACCUUCUUUUGGAGAUGGUAUCUAUUAAAUAUACUAAAAUGCAGUACAUAUGAUACCAUAGCUUGACAUAUGUCAUUCCCAUAACUCAAAACGUGUCCUGCCUAAUUAAUGUUCUUUAAGACCCUUAACAAAACUGCCCAGCUAACAUAACAAAUGAGGAUGAAAACAAAUCUAAUUCAUUCCCCUAAAUUUUAGAUUUAUAAUUUCCUAAAUCACUACAAAUUUAUUAAAUAUACUAAAAUGCAGUACAUGAUACCAUAGCUUGACAUAUGUCAUUCCCAUAACUCAAUACGUGUCCUGCCUAAUUAAUGUUCUUUAAGACUCUUAACAAAACUGCCCAACUAACAUAACAAAUGAGGAUGAAAACAAAUCUAAUUCAUUCCCCUAAAUUUUAGAUUUAUAAUUCCCUAAAUCACUACAAAUCUAAACUAUUUUGAUAAUACCAACUAUUUUGAUAUUAUCCUUUGUAAUUUAAUUAUUAUUUAAUAAAAUCACUUUUUUAUGCUAUUAAUUAAUUUUUUGGAUUUAUAAUCUUCUAACUCACCACAAAUCUAAACAGUUAAUAGCAUAAUGUUAUUAUCUUAAUUUUUUAGAUUUAUAAUCUCCCAAAUCUCUACAAAUCUAAACUGUUUAAAUAUUAUUCUUUCUAAUUUAAUUAUUAAUUAAUAAAAUCACUACUUUAUAUUAACACUACCCCCUACAAUGUAUAUUUAUUUGUUUUUUGUGUAAAAUUUGAUCAUCGCACAACAAUCUACCAUCUUCUUAUUAUAUUUUAAUUUAUUAAUUAUACGUACAUAUUUAUUAUUAAAAAAUUGAAUAAUCCCGCCUCAACGCGCGAGUUUGUAUCUAGUUUAAAUCUAGUUAAGACUUAAAAUCCUUAACCACUCAAACUUCUUAUCACAUCAGACUCCAUACUAAUCGUCUGCAUGGGCCUAAGUCAUCCGAACACCACCAAGAAGAUCUGGAUCCCGACUCAAAGGGAUCGGUCGCCCGACCCCGAACAUCACCAACCCCUUACUAGCUUUGGCCUAUUGAACUCAACCGAUCCUUUAUAGAUACGGCCUUCGAUCCAUAUGAGGGUCGACAAAUUACACCCGAAUAGUAUAUAUAUAAUCAGAAUGUUUAUAUAAUCACUUUUAACACCUGUAUAUAAUGAAUAAUGAAUAGUAUGUAUGAACACUGGCGAAGCCAGAAAUUUAUAUCAGUGGGGUCGAAAUUAGUACUAAGUUACAAAAAAUUUGGCGGGGGUUCAGGAACAGCGCCCUCGAAAUAAUUUUUUUUAAUACUUUAUACUUUCAGUAUAUAUAUAUAUAUAUAUAUAUAUAUAUAUAUAUAUAUAUAUAUAUAUAUACUAUAUUACAAUAAAAAUAUAAUGAGUAAUAAUAUAUGGUAUAUAUACACUAUAUUGACUCAUAAUAGACUUUUUUAAUCACAACAAUUCAUAAGUAAGUAAUUUAUUAUUUAUUUUUAAAAAUAAUAUAAAUUAGAUUAUUAUUUAGUUUAAAAUAUUAUAGAGAGAUACAUAUAUUGAAAGAAUUUGAGUUAUAUGUGAUUAAAAUUUGAUUGACAAAGUUAUAAAUUUUUAAUUUGACCCAGUAUAAUAGAAAAUUUAUAAAUUUUUAGUGGGAAAAAUUUAUAUAUAAUAUUUUAAAAUUUACCUUAUAUUAUAAAAUAAUUUUUUUUUUCAGUGAGAUCGAUUGAUCUCACAAAGUUGACGUGGCUUCGCCACUGUGUAUGAAUAAUGAAUAUAAAAAAUUGUUGUAUAUAAUAAAAAAAUUCGGGUUAGAGCAAAAAAGACUGCGUACGCCUAUUACAAAAUUAGGACGCAAACGUGUAGCCACAUACAAAGGGAAGAACAAAACUUAUCCGAAAAGGAUGGAAGAGAAUUUGGAGAUUUAUUGUAUGAAUAAUACUUUUUUACUUUUAAAAUUAAAAAUAUAAUUUGACUUAUAAAAUAACUUAUAAAAAUUAAAAUAAAAUAAUUUUUUGUGCUUAAUAAUUUUUAUUUUAUAUCAUAUGAUUAUAAUAAUUAUAUUAACAAAAAUUAAAUAAAUUUAUAUUAAUUUAAAAUUUAAUAUAUCGUUGUUUGAUCUCAAAAAUUAAAUUAUAUUUUUAAUUUUAAAAUAAAAAUACACAAUGGAAAUAAAAAUAUAUUGUUGGUUAGUUUGACUGGCUUAAGAAGUCUCAACUCAACAAUGUAAUGAUACCAAAAUUUACACACACUGUGUGCAUGUCAGAUGAUAUAUUAUAAGAAUAAUACUACACAUAUAGAUUAUUUUAUAAAUUGUUAAUGUGACAUAUUUUACUUCAACUUUUUAUAUGAAGCCGAAGAUUAUAUCGAAGCAAUUUAUUGAUCGAUAUGCUAAAGUGGAGUAUGCAACAUCAACAAUUUAUAAAAUAUUUAUAAAAUAGUUUGUGUCUGUAGCAUUACUCAUAUUAUAAUUACCUAGAGGAAAAAUGCACAACUUAUUACUAGGCACAACUUAUAACAAGGAGCCUCGACUCAUUCAUGUGUUUUUUUUUCUUAGGUCAGUGACACUAAUUUUUUAGGAUCCGGUUAGCAUGAAAUUUAUUUUAUGGUAAAUUGGUCAAUUGGCUAAUAGAAUGUUGACACACAUAAAAUCUCGUCUACGUGUUAAUACUCUAUUGACCAAUUGACCAACUUAUCCAAAAAUAAACUUUAUGCUUACCCUCUCCAAUUUUCUAAAUACUCCAUUUAUUUAGCAUGACAACUAUAUAGUAUUACCAAUGUUGGUAUUCCUAUGAAUACCAUACCAUGCCUUGAAGAUAUAUAGGAGAAUAAUAUUAAAAUAUUAGUAUGUAUUAUUUGGGUAUCUUAUGUGUGCGCUUGAAAUUUUAACAAGUAUUACUUUCCAAUAACAAUACUUUCAUUCCAACAUUUAAAAUUUUAAUGUCAAUUUAUAAAAUUUUAAAUAAAUAAAAAGUCUUUUAUGUCGUUGUCAAAUUGUUAAUGUGUUUGUACACAAAGUAAGUAUGAUCUUCCCAUGUCUUAUCACGCCACUGAAAAAAUAAUUCACCUGUCCUGAUAUAACUUUUAAUGUGUCGACAAUAGUAGUAGAGACCACAUGUAAAGUACAUGAGGAUGACCACAUCAAUCAAUUAACACCCAGAACCAAUAAAGUAAUGAAACAGAUAAAUUUUAAACAAAAAAAUAUAUAUAUUUUCAAAUAAAAAACAUCGUUAUACAUCUGUAACACGAAAAAAAAUAAUAUUUUUAUAUGAGUCUUUUUUAUAGGGAUAUAAGAUUUACUCAUUAUUUAUGUGAAAGAAAUCAUAUUAAAAUAUCAAUUCUUUUAUGUGAAAAUAUCAGUUCCCAAACAUAAACGCUAAACUUCAACUUUUCUUGUUUAUUAUUUUUUCCUUCCAAAAAUAAAAAUAUUGGUACUAAAUUUUAUUCUAUAUAAAGAGAUAUUUUUCUUUAAAUGUUUGUUUAGCAUGACAUCAUAUUCUUAAAUUUGAAUUACAAUUUUAUUCUUAUAUCAUCGCUAUUAUAUUAUAAUAAAUUAUUUAAGCAGUAAACAUAAAAUAAAAAACAUUUCUAAUCUUUGCAAAUUUUAGAAAUAUGACCUUUUUUUCUUUCAUAAAAUUGGAGAGAAUAUUAUGUAAAAAUUCCGGAGAAAUCCCAAGUUGAUUUAAUUGCGACACGCUAUGCAAGAGCAUGAUCGCAAAAGGAAAUUAAAACUGAAAUACAUAGUUAUAUAUAAAAAUAAUACAUAGUUAUAUAUAUAUAUAUAUAUAUAUAUAUAUAUAUAUAUAUUAAUUUAACCGAACAAAUACCAUUUAAUAAAGUGCAAAACAGGCAAGCGUUGAAGGAUCGAGCAGCCAUUUUAUGAUCAAGACAAAAUAUUUUAUCAUAUCACUUAAUAUUGAAAAAGCUUGAGAUACAUACCAGACCCUUAAUGGAUGUAUAGUACGACAAUAGUAAUAAUAUUAGUGUAAUUAACGUAAUUGGACUACGACAUUUCCAUCAACCAUCAUACCUGUGGCUGUUACUUAGCAUGUUGAGUUGAAUUUUAAUCUUUCUAUAAAUUCUAUCUAUUUAAAUUGUGUCACGUUUAUAUUUAAACUGAGUUGAAUUUGAUAUUACAACUUGACUUGUUUAAACUGUCUCAUAUUUAAUAAGCGCGCCGUUUGUUUAAUUAGCAAAAAAAAGAUAAAAAAGAAAAAAAGAAUUAAAAUAGAAUAAAAGAAAGGGUUACAAUAAUGAAUAGUGUUAUUAUCCGGCAUGAGCUACUAGCAAUUUAUCAAAUCAGCAUAAUAUUUUCAGAAAGGACCAUCGAUCUAUCCUUGGUGAAAAGAGUAGUAGGAGUAUUAUUUGGUUAUAUUCUUCUAAGUUAUAUAUGGACCACGAAUCCUAUCUUUACCCUCAAUAAUUUGUUUGGUUGAAAUCUAGAUAACAAUAUCUACCAUCAGUUGAAUUUAUUCCUUGUGCUUUCAUAAAUAUAUUCAAAUUAUUAUAAUAAUAAUAAAUUAAAAAAAAAUUACAAUACAAGAAAUUAAAAAUAUAAUCUAGAGGAUGUACCAUUCCCUUGGGUAACGUGGCCAAUCCAGCCAUGGCUAUUUUUGCUAUUCAUGGCCAUACUCUAUUUAUAUUCAUGAUGAUACCCAUGAUUAUUUUUGUUUCAAAUUUUAUAUUUUUGCCAUUUGCCCCAUACAUGAAACGUGGUCCUUUUAUAUUCAUUAUUUAUGGUUCAGAGAGUUCAUUAAAUUGUUAAAUUAAGAAUUAUUCAUCAAGCUGAUAUCUUUGGAGUCGGCUACUCAUCAUUUUCAUAAAUGAUCAAGCCAGUGAUAAAUGCAUUGUUCUCAUUUCGAUAUAAUCUAGAUCAUGUUUCUUUUUUUCUCAUCUUGAUACAAUACCAGAAUCAUCAUUAUGUGUUGGAGGUGGUUUCCAGAUUGAGCUAGUCAUUCAAAUGCAGCCGUAAUUAAAAUUGAUCCUCUCAAUUCUGAGGGGCUGACUUAAUGAUGUGCUCUUUAAAUAAAAGAGAGAUAAUAUGAUUGAAUCUUGCUAAUUCAAAGUUACCAACCUUAAUUAUUGGAGUGGAAGAAUUUUAAAAAAUAAUUCCACCCCAAUGUGCUUUUCCUAAGCUGACAAUUUGUAGGGAUUUUCUUCUUCGAGGCCAGUUAAUAAUAGUACAUUUUACGUUCCAAUAUCCCUCCUUUGGCUGUGUUCCCAGAUGAGAAGUAGGCAGCGCACAGCCAAUCGGCCAAUCCUAUAGAUCAAGAGCUCUUUAGAUGUGUAAGCAGUGGUGUGGUGUUCUAAUGUUCUAUUCACCGAUAGCCUCUUCCUCCUCCUCCUCCUCCUCCUCCUCAGCCAGGUCAGAACAAUUUUAUAUAUUAUCAUAAUGGGUAGAGGAAAAGAUGCACUUUAUCUCACUUUACCAUAAUGGUUUACGCCCAGAGACAGGAGGUUAUAAACAAUCAGCUUGUAGAGUGGAGAGAAGUCAUACCGGAUGAUUGCUAAUAUACAAGCAUGAUGCACGACGCAUCACUCUCGUAUUAACUCAAACCACCAAGAAGAUAAUAAUAAAAUCGAUAAUGCAGAACCAAGAAGAUAAUAAUAAAAUCGGAAAUGCAGAAGAAACUUUUAAAAUCCAUUCAAGGGUACGACCUAAAAACAUCAUCAAAAUACCGGUAGCAGCCUUUAUUUUCUUAUAGAUGCAUACCGGAGUGUCAAUAAGUACAAGUCCAAUUCUUUAUAACUAAUCAAUAUGAUUCUACUCAAUGAACCCUCAUUAACAUUCUCUGCAUGUGCAUACAAGACUUAUUAUAUACUUGAGAACUAGUCUCAAAUCGAGAAUGAAAUAAAAAGUAAAAAAAUUGUUUAUUAGUGAUGUUAAGAGGGAAGUUUUCAAAUCCUGGAAGGCCCCUAUUAAUGUAAUGAUUGAACAAUCAAACUGGGCUUGCAGCAACUACAAGCUGCCAGUGCACCUUCCUUUGAGUCACAUACAAGGCUUCUUAGUAAGGCCCCCAUCCUUUCUACACUUUUGCUCAAAAGUCUGCAGCUCAGAGCCACUGCCUUCUAUAACUAUAACUAGAAACAAAACAAAAUACGUAAAAGAAUAAUAAAAAAGAAAUUGUUAAAUUCACAAUAGAAAAUGUUAUUUCCACAACAAAAGUGUCGCUAUAGAUCCUAUAGCGACGGUGAAAACCGCCGCUAUACAUCUACAACAACACUUUUGUUGUGAAAAUAAUAAAAAGUGUUGUGGUCCCUAAGAAAAAUUAUCAACUAGCAUAUGAACUAAAGCCUCAAAUCUCAAGUCCGAGUCGAAUCAAAUCCAUUCAAACAAAGUCUUAAACCACUAGAUACUAUUCAUCUUAACUCAUCACAAGCUCACUCAAAAAGCCAAGACUAAAAGUAUAAUUACUUAAAUUUUUGACUUCUUGUUCCCACUUCCAAACCUCUCUUCAUUGUGGAAUAAUAUCGAUUCCAGAACAAAUUCCAAAUCCGAAUCGAAUCAAAUCCAUCCAAACAAGGCUUUAAACCACUAGCCCAAUAACACAAACAAAUUUUUCUCACAUGUUCGAUAUGUGAGACUGGGGUGUUACAUUUACAGCCAGAACAUAGUAGAUCCACAUGCCUGUCCAAAAGGAUAUUUUUGGUUUAAGAUUGUUCAUUCUUUCAAUCCAGGUGCGUAUUUCCUCCCCAACACUAAUCACUCUGUUUGUUCAUUAUUUAACAUGUAGUUUAACGUUUUGAAAUUGAACUUUUUAGCAGAAUACUACUUGAUGUUUCUUCUUCAAUAUAGUUCCAUUAUGUGGUAAAUUUGAAGAUUUAGUUCCUUCAUCCUUUUGGUAAUAUUAAUAUAAAUUAUAUGGAUCGAUGAACUUUCAACAAAAAUUUUGACAUGAAUCAACAGUUCAUGUGAUCAAGGAUCUUAAUUACUAAUGUAUUCCUCUUUGGUAUGCUAGUUAUAUAAUAUACUUAUCAUAAGUCAAGAACACAAUCUUACUAAUUAUAGAUGAAAGAUACACUUUAAACAUUUGGGUUGUACACCUCGUAUUAAAAUAUCCUCUACAACAAACUUCAACUAGAGGGCAUCAAAAUCUCCUAAUCCCAGGUCAAAUUUGUGGAUUGAAUGCUCCUCCAACAAGGCAACUAAGGACAAUAUGUAUCAUAUUUGCUAUUGAUACCAAAGCAUUAAUUAUACAAAUAAGAAAGGACUCCCUCUUCUCUCUAAGUUAAACAAUGAAACAGUUAACAAUCAACAACAAGAUUAUGCAAUCACAAUCUGAUGUCCUUAAUAACCAACUACUUGACAUCUAAAACAUUCACUUACCAAAUGAUAAAGAACAUAGUAAUUUCUGAUGUAAGAGGCUCAAUUUAGGACACAGGAAGAAUAAGCUAGUUGUCACGAAUAAAAUCUAUCUAUAAUCAUUUUCAAUGAAGGGUAUAAUUAAUGUAUAGAUCAAGGGUACAAUGUUAUUAUCUCUUUACAGAAGCCAUACAUUUUAACUAAGAUCACCAACAUGAUCAUAAUAAUUAGGGGGAAAAAAUACAUACCAAACUGGGUAUUCAGGAGCUUGGGUAUUUGAUCAUCUUGUGCAAAACCAGGGUCCUCGCCCUUCUUACAUCGCGACUACACUUAUCAGCAUAUUCACUCAAAUCCUCAAUGGUUUGCGUAAACCCUUUUAAAUUUUUCUUGAUAUCAUCUAUUGCUAUUCCCACGGCCUCCCCUUCUCUAAGAGCAAAGUCAGCAUUUUGCACCAAAGCCUCAAUCUCAAUUUCCAAUUUACCAAUAACCAACCUAAUGUUCUCUAAAUCCUUAACUACAAUAAAAGUCCCAAACUCCAUUGAACUGAUAAACUCUUUCUGUCCUUUAAUUUCAUUCUCAUACUUCUUCCAAAUAGAAUUAACCCAUUUCCCCAUUGACCCUAAGGGCACGGCGGCUGCAGCAGCCAACGCCGUCAGCACGGCCGGAGCAGCAAUAGCAGCAGCCACCACGGAGCAAAUCAAAACAGCCGUAAAAGUGGCAACAAAUAAUACAUUCGACAACCUCCUCCAUUUCUUCAUUGAUCUCAACUUCUUAUCAAGCUCACCCAUUUGAGCCUGCAACUUCGUCAACAUAACCAUUUGUUUUUUAUAAAUAGACUGAAAUACUAAAAAGAAGUCAUCCCCAAAAGGGUCACUAGAUGCCUUAAAUUUCUUCAAUUCUUGUAAAGUCCGCGAAAAUAAACUAGACCCAUCUCUCUUUUCUUCCUCGAAUUGCCGCAGAGCAACAUUGACAAUAAACUGGCUGUCACGGGCACGCUUGAGGCAGUUAGCGAGCGCAGCGCAGAAAUCUAGCGUUUCGAGGCUGUUUUUGAAGUAAUCGUCAACUAAAUUGAACAAUUGCUGAUUCUUCCAAAUGUCUUUUUUGCAGUCCAAAAUGACUUGGACUACAUCUUGAUCCAUUUCGAGUAAACCUUCUGUGACUUCACGGAUGGAAUCUAAGGAAAGUCCAACGGCUAGGCUGUUGAUUACUCGGCUGGUGCGCUGGUGGAGGGUGGAGUCGAAUGACCGGAGCUCCGGAUCAGCUCUACAUGCCGCCUCGUAGGAGUUUAGAUCCGGUGAAUUGGUGGGGUUAGUAUGGGCGGGGGAUGAAGGAGGAAGCGGCGGCCGAGGAGGGUUGACCACAGUUUUCUUGCUGAAUUUGCAGCCCAUCUGUAGGCAGAUUUGGAUGGAGAGAGGAAAAACAAAAUUAAAUCUUUCUGGGUCUGGUUUAUAUAUCAUGAAUUAGUGAGAUUUUCAGCUGAAAUAAUUAACAAAAAUGAGUCUGAAUCUGGCGGAUAAUUGGGGAGGAAGAAGAAAAGGGAAGAAGCAAAAGAUAGAAAAACAGUAGGUGUGGACUGUGGACUGAUUUUUAUUAACUUUGUUUUAUUUCAAAGAUGUUUAUUUAGUCACACAGUUAACAUAGGAAGCCGGAGGGAGACGACUGAUUGGCGAGCUUGUUCAAAUGACUAAACAGCCCUCAGCAAUCAUCCCCUCGUGGACUUUAGAUAUUUUUUUGAGUCAUCAUAUUUCCUUUAUAAUUAAUUACAUCCUUAAAUGAACCGGAAGUGGUUAACAUAAAGUUUAUUUUUGGGUAAAUUAAUCAAUUGAUCAAUAGAAUGCUAACACGCAGACAAAAUUCUGUGUGUGUCAAUAUUUUAUUGGUCAAUUGACCAACUUAUCUAAAAAUAAACUCCAUACUAACCGGAUCCAAAUGAACCGAGGUCAUAGUUAUUUAGAUUUGGUUCAUAAAAUUUAUUAGAUAUAAAAUAAAAUUUGAUUAAAACAUGUUUAGUUAUCGAGUCGAGCAUAAUUUUGAAUCAAGCUCGAACAAUUUGAAUUUAUCGAACGAACUUGAUCCGAGUAUCAAAAGAAAAUUAUAAUUGAAGACGUUCGAGUACUUUAUCAAAUUUUAAAAUUUAUUCAUAUUUGAAUCAUUUAUAUUUUAAGUCGAACUCGAAUCGAACUUUUAGUCGAAUGAGUAUGAAUCGAGCCGGAACUGCUCGCUUAUUUUAGAGUGUUACAUCAAGCUUAUGGCAAAUGAUAAUAACCUAUUACAAUUAUUAUUAUUAUUAUUAUUAUUAUUAUUAUUGAAUUGUAAUGGGAUAUAUUAUCUUGUGUCUCCAAAAAAUCAAUCCCUCUAAAUGCCUCACCACCAAAGUGAACUUUUUAAUAAGUAGUUCUAAUACUUGUACACUGGAAGGAUUAUUUAUAUCUAUGGACUAUGGGUAACUUUAAGAAAAACAUAAGGUCUAAAUUUUUCGUUUCACAAACUUCCUUGCAUUUGAAUAGUUAAAAACUUCAGCCAUCUUAAUAGAUAAAUAUCAUGUGGAUGGUUUGUGUCAUGGCUCUUUCAAUAGCAUAUGUUUCAAUUGCAUCUCAUUUUAUAUUAAAAAAAAAGUAAACUUGUGAUUAUUAGUCCCAAAAUAAUAAAAUAACUUGAAAUAAUAGAUUAUUUGAUAUUAUAUUCUAUUAGGUAUUAUAAUUCUUCCCAUUUGAGAUUAAAAAUUUGUGAAUAAAAUUAAUCUUUAACUUUGUUUAAAAAGACCAAUAUAUCUUAUCUUAUUUAGCUAUACUCAAACUAAUGAGAUUAUGAUAUUUUUGUUAUCUAGCUAUACUCGGAUCAAUUUAUUUUUAUGAUAUUUUUGUUAUUAGUGGUAAAUUUUUAUCCAAUCUUUUAAAUAAUUCUUGACAAAACAAAUAUAAUAUGAAAUUAUUUUAAAUUAUUUCAUGAAUAAUCUCAUAAGAAAUAAACAUGUGAUUAUGACUAUUUAAUCAUAACAUUAAUAAUCUUAAAAUUAUAAUUUUUCAAAAUAUAAUGCUCCAGAUCGAGAAUAUAAAUCUUACAAACAAAAAUGCCCUAAAGAUUAAUAUUAUAAUUGCCUAAAGUUUAAUAUUAUAAUUGCUCUGAUGAUUAUUAUUGGGACUUCGAAAAAUUCCGUCAUUAAUUGAGUUUCCUUGAUCAUCAAUUUGGUCCCAAUUGAUGCGACGUGAAUCAUAGUUGUAUAGUUCAUCUUUUUUAUGAACACCAUCACAUCCGUUCUGAUACUAAUUUUUUUAGGUGGGAUUAGAUUCAAGUCAAGUUAAUGUGAUAAUUUUAUAAUAUAAUAAAUUAUUAUAUUGAUGUAAUAUUUAUUAUGCUUGGUUACUUAUUACACAUAUUAGCUCAUUAUAAGCGUAAUACUAUUACAUAUUGACAUUAAUUUAUAAAUAUUUCAAUAUAUCUUCCAAUUGAUGUAUUAACACAUUACUUGGGGUAAUGUAAUUUAUACCUUAUAUAUAAAGGCAAUAAAAAUGAUUUUAAUUUUGAAAUUAACUCUGAAUUACUCCAUCCGUUCCUAAAAGAUUGUCGUUUUAGAAGAAAAAAUUUGUUCCAAAAUGUUUGUCGUUUACAACUUCCGAGCAGAAUAAAUUAUUUAUUUUCCUAUAUUACCCCUAUCUUCUCUCAUUGUUUCAAGAAAUUCCCUCUCUUGUAUUAAUAAUUUUCAACUUCCCAUAAAGCAGUAGUGAUGGAAUUUCAAAUAAAUUUUACUUAUUCUUAAUCCAUGUGCCAAAACCUUAAACGACAAUCUUUUAAGAACGGAGGUAAUAAUUUAAUCAAUUUCACUGACUUAUUUACCGAGUUGGUCAAGUCUCUUCCUCUUCCUCCUCCUCCGCCAUAAACCAUCCGUUUCUUCUUCACUGCCUUCUCUUCAGUCACUUCAGUUUCUUCCCUUCUCUUUCUCUACGAAAUCGAUUUCCUCGCUUUUUCUUUUGUUUCGUUUCUCUUCCUCCUCCCACACACAUCCCAAAUCUCUUUUCUCGGUAUUUGAUUUACCCUAAACUUCGACAUACAAAUACGAUUUGGGACUUUUUGGGUGGAGCAAUUCGAGAAAUUGCGAACUAUGGAGUUCGUGGAUCGUUCGAUUUUUCUCUACCUUCCAUUUUUCUCAAUUUUUGUCCUCUGUGCAGGUUUCUCCACAAUUUCUAGGGUGUUCUGGCCAUUUUCUUCCUAAAACGGCAAGGAGACUACGUUUAUGGAUUCAAUCACCGGUACUGAUUAGCAACCUGGGCUUGAAUUUUAAAUUCUCUAUCAUGUAGCUUUUUGGUGAUAUCUUUUUAUUUUUAGGCCAUGUUCAAUUGCAAUAAUUAUGUAUCGGAUUGGUCUAUUUAUACUCUUAUAAUACCUUUAAUCUCAUGUGUGGUAUUAAAUUUACACUAUAAGCUUUAGUCAUAAGCUAUAAGCUUUAGUCAUAAGCUAUACACAUUAUGUGUAAUUCAUAAGCACACUAUAUUCUAACACAAGACAAUUCAUUAGCCCAGACUCUACUGAACUACAUGCCUGCACUAUUUGUGAUUUGACAUAAAUCAUAUAUGUAUAGCUCCCAAUCAAGUUUAUAUUUCACACAAGUAUGUAUUAUUGGUUAGAAGUCCAUUAGAUCCUGGGAAGCUUACUCAGUUUUAUAGCAUAGUCGUAUAUAUGUUCACUUGAAUUUGUUUCAAGAAAGCCAUAUCCCACCAGGUCCUUUGCUGAAAACUUUAGCCAGUGUUGCCUCUGAUAUUUGACCAAACUGGACGAAUUUGAAUUUCGACUCUUUUUUUGUAGUCCGAUCUCGCUAUUAUGCACAUAUAUUAUAAAAUUCUAUAUUUUGCAUAUAGUAUCUGUUCGGGAGCGUUUUAAACUUGGCGUUAACAGUAUCCAUUUCUAUCUCUUUUUUUCUUUCCAAAUAAUUGAUUUUUGUGCUUUUAUUUGUCUAGAUUGUCCUUUAUAAUUCAAUGUUUCUCAUUUCUAGCCUCUAAAUAUGAAGAAAACUUAUGUCAUUGAAGAAGGCAAAAAAACUCAGUAAGUGUGUAAGACCCCAAGUUUUAUGAAUAAAGAUGAAUUUUCUAUAAUUAUUAUUUUUGAAUAUUAUGGAAUGAAUUUGAUAUAAUGUUAUAGUUGUGGGUAAUAGUUAUAAAUUUUGCAAAGUACACAAGUUGUUAUAUAAUAUUCGAUUGGUCGGGGAAUAUUCAUUUUAACAGGGAAUAUUCGUACGACGGCANNNNNNNNNNNNNNNNNNNNNNNNNNNNNNNNNNNNNNNNNNNNNNNNNNNNNNNNNNNNNNNNNNNNNNNNNNNNNNNNNNNNNNNNNNNNNNNNNNNNNNNNNNNNNNNNNNNNNNNNNNNNNNNNNNNNNNNNNNNNNNNNNNNNNNNNNNNNNNNNNNNNNNNNNNNNNNNNNNNNNNNNNNNNNNNNNNNNNNNNNNNNNNNNNNNNNNNNNNNNNNNNNNNNNNNNNNNNNNNNNNNNNNNNNNNNNNNNNNNNNNNNNNNNNNNNNNNNNNNNNNNNNNNNNNNNNNNNNNNNNNNNNNNNNNNNNNNNNNNNNNNNNNNNNNNNNNNNNNNNNNNNNNNNNNNNNNNNNNNNNNNNNNNNNNNNNNNNNNNNNNNNNNNNNNNNNNNNNNNUCCAUUCUCCUAUAAAUAGAAGCUCAUUCCUUCAUUAUUUCUUACGAAUUCACUGAAACUCUAGAGAGAAAGAAGAAAAGUAUUCUGCUACUUCACUACUCCUAUAUCCAGUUGUUCCAAGGUAAGGGGUAUUAUUUUUUUCACAUUCAUGAGAGAACUUCUGUUAUUCCAUUCUUUAUUAUUCUGUUGGAAUAACCUGUAUACGCGGUCUACCCUAUACUUGGUGAAAUUCUUCUGUUAUUCCAUUAUUUAUUAUUCUGCUGGAAUAACCUGUCUAUGCGAAGUACCACAUACAUGGUGAAAUUUUGUUGUUAUUCCAUUCUUUAUUAUUCUGUUGGAAUAUCCUGUCUGUGCGUUUUACGCCAGACCUGGUUUCGUCUUUAUUAUUCUGUUGGAAUAUCCUGUCUGUGCGUUUUACGCCGGACCUGAUUUCGUUUUUAUUAUUCUGUUGAAAUAUCCUGUCGGUGCGUAUUACUCCUGACCUGGUUUCGUUAUUUAUUAUUCUGUUGGAAUAACCUGUCUAUGCGAAGUACCGCAUGCAUGGUGAUUUCUUUUGUUAUUCCAUUCUUUAUUAUACUCUGUUGGUUAAAGUUUUGACUUCUAUACUCCAUGAAAUUAGUGGAAUAUCCUUGAUAUUUGCGCUUCAUCCAGUAUCUUAGAUAAACUUGGUUCUUCUGAGCAUUCUUAAAUUUUACUCUACAAAGAAGUAUCAUGUUUAUAAUUUGGACGUUAUUAGUUCCUGGAUAAAUAAAUUCUUGAACUUGUUUUUAUUGAAUUCUUAUAUCAUUGUCAUCAUCCUCAUGUUUAUAUUUUGUUGAAAGUCAUCUGUGGCCUGUAGUGCAUAGAUAAACUUGGUAUAAUUAUGACCAGGGAUUAUUCGGUGUAAUCAUGAUCGUAAUGUUACAAAUGAUGUGGUAAAAGUCCUCAUUGGCCCGUAGUACAUUGAUGGACAGUUGUUGGCAUGAUCAUGACCAUUGAUGAAUACACGAAUAUCCUUUGUCCGUAGUGCAUGGAUAAUUUGUGGUCGUGACACUAAUGAAUAUCCUUGGUUGUAGUGCAGGGAUGAUGUGGAUUAUUUAUUAAGUUAAGUCUCAGCGAUAAAAAGUGAUGAAAAACCUUUUUAAAUCAUAAAAGAUAGUAAAUUUUAUUCUCUACUUGACUCUUUUAAUGGAUUGCUUGUUCUGCUGCGGUUAAACUUGAUGUCUAUUGUAUUUUAUCAUUUUAACAUUGUUGAAAGCUAAUGAUAAUUUAUCCUGCAUUAUCUUAGUCAUAAUAUUUCUUACUGGGCCAGUUGAGCUCACCCUUUCUUUCACCGUUCUCUUAAGGAAAUGAGAACGUAGCCGGGACUAGUCGGGGAAAGGAUUGAUGGUCCAGAAGAUAGAAUUAAUAGUCCUUACUAUUCUGUUAAAUAGUGUAAAAAUAAAUGUAAUGAGAACUCUUUUGAGUGUGGAUAUUGUCUAGAUGACAAUAUUCUUAUUAAACUCUCAGUUUACGUUUUGUCGUAUUUUACACGACAACUGUAUUAUUAAGUUUUAUUUGAAUUUUGUACCAUGUAUUUGGCGACUCAAGAUGGGUGAUGUAUACCUAUUUUGGGGGCGUCACAGUUGGUAUCAAAGCUUAGGGAUAUAAUCCCUGGCUAACAUGUGAGACAAGAACUAGGAGGGGAGAGACGGGAAAUUCCUUCGCUAGUAUGACCUACCUAAGUUUAGUUGAUAUUUAAUUGGUUGGUCAGAGUAUAGGGAUAAUAUGUAAUAUGUUAAUUAACCCUUAUUUUGUGGCAGUAUUUGAAAAUGGCAUCCGAGAAUGUUGAGAACAUCAAUGGAGCACAUGAGACCGUUGAGUCUCCACAGAUCAAUAAUCAGGAUAAUGUGCAUCAGGAAGGCGACAAUCCUCAAGCAAACAACAACAUUGACCAGAUGAUGAACGAUGGAAUGUUUAGAGGCUUUAUGCAAUUCAUGCAACAUCAGGCAAGAACGGCUCCUGUCCAAAAUGCAGGUGGAAACACUGGCAACUCUCGGACGGUCACCGCUAAGCAGUUCAAGGAAUUGGGACCACCGAAAUUUUUUGGAGAGCCAAAACCACUUAAGGCGGAGACAUGGAUAAAAUAGAUCUACAAGAUAUUUAAUGUCUUGGGAUGCUCCGAGGAGCAAAAGGUUCUCUUUGCCACCUUCAUGUUGCGUGCAGAGGCAGAUUACUGGUGGGAAUCUGUAAAACGUACUCAACCUGCCGCACUGAAGAUGACUUAGGAGAAGUUCCAAGAAUUGUUCAACGACAAGUACUUUCCCGAAAGCAUUCGUCACAUGAAAGAAGUAGAAUUCAUCAAGCUGGAGCAAAACAACAUGAUCGUGUCGUAGUACGAAGCCAAGUUUGCCGAGUUGUCCCAGUUUGCGUCCCAUUUGGUUGAUAAUAAGGAGAGAAUGACGCAAAUGUUUCUAAGAGGUUUGAAACCUGACAUACGUCAAUAUCUUAUCUCUCAUAAACUGUGUUUAUAUUCAGAUGUUGUUAAUAGGGCUCAGUUAUUGGAGCGCGAUAAUGAGUCAACCCAACCAAAAGAGAGCAGCCAGCAAAAUGAUAAUACCAAUGAUAACAGUCAUCAAGGCGGUGACGAUAAGCGUGGAGGGAAUCAAUAUGCCAGAAAUGGUAACCACUUCAGCGGUAAUCAUGGCCAAAACAAUAAGAAUGGACAUUUCAAGAAGAGGAGAUUCAACAAUGAUGGAAAGAUGUCAGCACUAGCACCCGUUGUUAAGGAAGGAGAACGACCACCUAUCAUAUGCUUCAAAUACGGAGGGGAGGGACACAUCAAUCCAAAUUGCGCAAUGCUGUCCAAAGCAUGUUAUAAUUGUGGAAGAACAAAUGUGGUAGCUGACGCGUUGAGUAGAAGAUCGUAUGCAUUUACGAGUGCGAUGUUUUUAACAUAAAAACCCAUUUCGUAUAACUUAUAAAUGAUAAAAAUAGAGUUAAAGACUCUAGGGACCCACAUGAAGAUAACAAAUAUACGAGUAUAAUAGACUUUAAUCGAUAAAGUUAAAGCUGUGCAAGCUACACACCCGAAUCUGAUGAAUGUGAAGAAGAAGGUUCAAGAAAGCGUUAUCUCAACCCUUGAUUUAAUUGGCCCAUUUUUAAUCCUCGAUCGAGUAGGGACUGUAGCCUAUAGACUCGCUUUACCGCCAAGUAUGUAUCGUGUUCAUAACGUUUUUCAUAUAUCUAUGUUACGUAAAUAUGUGAAAGACUCGAACCACAUUAUUGAGUUAGAACCGGACGAAAUAGCGGAAGAUUUAACGUAUGAAGAGGUUCCUGUUCAAAUCUUGGAUAAGAAGGAAUAUAUUCUACGCUCCAAGGUUAUAUCUCAAGUCAAAGUUUUAUGGAGGAACCACGAUGUUGAGGAAAUGACCUGGGAGUUAGAAUCUGAAAUGAAAUCAAGGUAUCCUUACCUCUUCGACAUACUAGAUACGUACCCUAAUUUCGAGGGCGAAAUUUUAUAAAAAGGGGAGAGUGUAAGACCCCAACUUUUAUGAAUAAAGAUGAAUUUUCUAUAAUUAUCAUUUUUGAAUAUUAUGGAAUGAAUUUGAUAUAAUGUUAUAGUUGUGGGUAAUAGUUAUAAAUUUUNNNNNNNNNNNNNNNNNNNNNNNNNNNNNNNNNNNNNNNNNNNNNNNNNNNNNNNNNNNNNNNNNNNNNNNNNNNNNNNNNNNNNNNNNNNNNNNNNNNNNNNNNNNNNNNNNNNNNNNNNNNNNNNNNNNNNNNNNNNNNNNNAUAGUAGCACACGGUAUUGAUUAUUGAUGCUUACGUGAGAAGUCACUCAGUUUUGUUCAAUUAUUGCUACAGUAAUUGCUGCAUAGUAUCUCACGUUAUUUGAUUCAAUUAUUGUCAAUAUUUUAUAUAUUAUUAAAUCAAUAUUUGAGACGACAAAGUUAUUAAUAUUAUUAUUUGCAAUAUUAACGAUGUCUAGAAGUUCAAGGAGAAGUUUGGUCACCUAAUUGCGCGCCAAUAGGGAAAAAUCCUUAGUAAAAAGCCCCCUCUUUCCUGGGAACGACCUGGUCGAUUAAUAUUGUGACUUAUAAUAAAGGUGAUAAAUGUUGUUAAAAUUAUUAAGGUGAUUUUUAUGAAGUUUUGCUUAUUUUAUGGACCCCCAUUUAUCCUUUUUUUUAAAUAAUCGAUAGAAAGUUGUUUAGUAUAUAUAUAAUGGGACCCACAUGUGAUUAUGAGAUGUUGGUGGGAGGGGAAUACGUGGGGCCCACAGGUGUUGAAAAUUGAAUGGUUGGGAGGAAUCUUGCAAGAGUUAUUCACGGGUGGGAAGAUUAUAUAAAUUACAUGUGUUUAUAUAUAUAUAUAUAUAUAUUAAUAUUAUUAAAAUUUAUUUGUUUGUAACAUUAUUGAAAAUCAGGCAAAUGAAAUCAACCUGUGAAUAUAUAUAUAUAUAUAUAUAUAUAUAUAUAUAUAAUAUAUUAUAUUUUAUUGCAUAGUAUCCUUUCCAUUCUCCUAUAAAUAGAAGCUCAUUCCUUUAUUAUUUUUUACGAAUUUACUGAAACUCUAGAUAGAGAAAC